AACGCAGACCCGGCCGACGUGUGUCAAAGUGUAGUGUCUGUUCUUACCAGCUGAAUAUCUGAUACGGGUUGUAUUUGGACCCAAGAUAUUAAACCCAUUUUUGCAAGUUAGUGGAGUGCUUGAAGCCUGCUCCACCUCCGCCGCGGGUAGGCUUGGUAUUGCGCUAUCUUAGGCAUUUUUGGUCUACGGACG